AAUACAUAGCUUAAUGAGGGGAACUCAGGGAACUGAAACAUCUAAGUACCUGAAGGAAGAGAAAGAAAUUCGAUUCCGUAAGUAGCGGCGAGCGAACGCGGAUUAGCCCAAACCAAUAAAGUUUUCUUUAUUGGGGUUGCGGACAUAUCAUAACGAAGAGGUAUCGUAAUUGAAGAGGUUUGGAAAGACCCACCACAGAAGGUAAUAGUCCUGUAUGUUAAACGAGAAGACGUUAGAUAUGAUCCAGAGUACCACGGGACACGUGAAACCCUGUGGGAAGCAGGAGGGACCACCCUCCAAGGCUAAAUACUACCUAGUGACCGAUAGCGUAUAGUACCGUGAGGGAAAGGUGAAAAGAACCCCG
rnacentral:rRNA from 1 species